rnacentral:lncRNA from 1 species
AUGAUUCAGGAGAAAGAUGGCACAAAGGAAAUCACCGCCAGCGAUGACAGUCUGUCGGAGGGGAAUGCUGCCAAGGAGACACACAUCUUUGGCGGUAUCUUUAAGAAGCCCCAGAAGCCAACGCAAGAGGACAGCUCAGAUAAAGAGGGGUCCAACCAGCAGGAAGAAGAAAAAUCAUCUAGCUGUGAAAAUCUCUCUGAGACCACUAAUCAAAAGGAGAAGAAAGGAGGUCUUUCCGGUUUAUUCAAAAGGUCCGCCAGCAUCGACAACCUGAAUGACAAUGAAGAGAAAAGUAUUUUCAGUGGCAUUUUUAAGAAGCCAGCAAAAGCCUUGGAAGGGUCUACAGCUGACGAGGAUAUUGAAGGAAGAUUAUCCAUCAGUGGUGAUGAACUUUCAGAAACGGCCAAGGUACCUUCCUAUAAUCACAAACUUUUGGGUUUGCGUUUGACUCGAUGGUUAAUCUUUUUUAUAAUAUGUAUUUAA